CCCGACAUCAAACUCUAUAAAUAGUACAUACUGUUGCAGAACUAGUUAUACUAGUUCCCAUCUAUAAAUAAUUACCACUAAUAGCAAACGGGAAAACACCAAUUUCAAACGAAAUAAAAUAUAUUUAAUCUCUUAUUUCAAUAGGCUAUAAACAAAACAAACACAGAUAUAGGAUUAGUUGCUCGCAGUUACAUCGAAACAAAGGAAAUGAAACAGUUCAGAAUAAGAUGCCGAUAUAAAAAGAUAUUACCAACUGAUGAUCUAAAAUUUUCCUUCAUAUAACCAUCUUCAAACUGACAUCACGAGCUCUAUAGUACGAUAAAGGUGUAUCAUCUUCUCUUAGCUAGUAAACACUUCGCGACUUCAAAGAGAACACAAAACAAAAAUGAAAUCAGAUUCUAAACAAGUUAAUUUCAGAUAAAUCUUUAACCACUUAACAGGACUGAUCUCAUAUCCAAAUCGACAAUCGGAACACCAAAAACGUAACUUUCCAAAAUAAAAUUUAUAUUUCAUAACGGUAUAUAUAUAGUGAACUAGACUGACGCUUCCACAUGAGAUGGUAAUGCAAAGACAAUUUUUCAAUUCUUGAAUCAUUGGAUAAUUUCCAAGACUGUUUCCAUUGAUUCUGCAAAUAGAAGAAAACAAUCAAAAACUUCAUAUAUACAUGUAUGUUAAUUAGAUAAACAUUAAACUUCUAUAGAUAUAUACAUACUUCAUAUCUAUAUACAACUUCUAAUCACACUGUGCGAUUCUUUAUGUUACACUGUGCAACAUAGCUCAUGAAAGUCAAAACAUAUACAUAUCUCAUAUCUACAUACAUCAACUUCUAAUCACACUGUGUGAUUCUUUAUGUUACACUGUGCAACGUAGCUCACGAAA
rnacentral:lncRNA from 1 species